rnacentral:rRNA from 1 species
GGUUUGUUAAGUCGGAUGUGAAAUCCCCGGGCUCAACCUGGGAAUUGCAUUCGAUACUGGCAAGCUAGAGUAUGGGAGAGGAAGGUAGAAUUCCAGGUGUAGCGGUGAAAUGCGUAGAGAUCUGGAGGAAUACCGAUGGCGAAGGCAGCCUUCUGGCCUAAUACUGACGCUGAGGUGCGAAAGCAUGGGGAGCAAACAGGAUUAGAUACCCUGGUAGUCCAUGCCGUAAACGAUGUCAACUAGCCGUUGGGGGAUUUGAUCCUUUAGUGGCGCAGCUAACGCGAUAAGUUGACCGCCUGGGGAGUACGGUCGCAAGACUAAAACUCAAAUGAAUUGACGGGGGCCCGCACAAGCGGUGGAGCAUGUGGUUUAAUUCGAUGCAACGCGAAGAACCUUACCUGGUCUUGACAUAGUGAGAAUCCUGCAGAGAUGCGGGAGUGCCUUUUAGGAAUUCACAUACAGGUGCUGCAUGGCUGUCGUCAGCUCGUGUCGUGAGAUGUUGGGUUAAGUCCCGCAACGAGCGCAACCCUUUUCCUUAUUUGCCAGCACUUUUAGGUGGGAACUCUAAGGAUACUGCCAGUGACAAACUGGAGGAAGGCGGGGACGACGUCAAGUCAUCAUGGCCCUUACGACCAGGGCUACACACGUGCUACAAUGGUCGGUACAAAGGGUUGCUACACAGCGAUGUGAUGCUAAUCUCAAAAAGCCGAUCGUAGUCCGGAUUGGAGUCUGCAAAUCGACUCCAUGAAGUCGGAAUCGCUAGU